UAGACCCUCUGUAUCAGUCUCUGCAAUGCUGGGUUAAUCUCUUCUGGAACUAUGUUUUCAAGUUCUGUGUUGGCAGCAAUAGAAAGUGGUGUUAUAUUGUAGAGUCAUUGUUGUCAUAGAUGCUAGUAAACAGUUACCAGAUAGCUACAUCUAACAAUUCUUAGGAAAGCCACAAUCAACACUCGGAGUUUACACUUGAAAACUUAUCAAUCACUGUGACUGAUUUGUUUGGUGCUGGGACGGAGACAACAAGCACAACACUGAGAUAUGCUCUCUUGCUCCUGAUGAAGUAUCCAGAAGUCACAGCUAAGGUCCAGGAAGAGAUUGAUCGUGUGAUUGG